rnacentral:tRNA from 1 species
GCCAGAAUGGUGUAGUGGUGUGAGCAUUGGACUAUGACUCUGGAUACCAGGGUUCAAAUCCCAGCUUGGCCA